GUAAAAGAGUUGAGCUUAGUUUCAGUAUUUUACAUUUUAACAUUUCUUUCGGUUACUAGAAGAUCGUAGUUGUAAUGGGUGUAAUAUCAAAUAUACUAUGCGAGAUUAUUCCGUUCAAAGUGAAUAUUAUUUAUUGUUCUAAGCCAAGCCAAGUGUUUACCCUAUUCUUCUAGUCUUAGUGUAUUUUCUAUCUAAUCAUUUUUAUAAAUAACAGACCGAGAAGAAGAUAAUUCAUUUGUUUAUC